rnacentral:tRNA from 9 species
GGGCGCGUAGCUCAGCGGGAGAGCACACCCUUCACACGGGUGGGGUCGCAGGUUCAAUCCCUGCCGCGCCCACCA